GAGAGGUUUCAGGUCACCAGUGCGUGGGUUGGUUUCGCACAGUGUGAUUCUGGGAGUGUGGAAGGGAUUCAACAAUUGCCUGGGAUGGAUGCCAGUGGGAGGCAAAAGGCAAUGGGAGGUGAGUUGAACUCAAAGAGGUCUGUAAAUAGGGGUUCACAGUUUCCCCUCAGGAUUCGUGACGAGAGGGGGUGUGAAUGGUUUCAGAACUCACAGAGUUAAAGAGUUCUGGUGACGUCUCUUUCCUGAGGCGUGGUUAGAAACACUUAAGGGAGGGGUUUGACUCCGUGUGUUUCAGUCUGACUUUCGGACGUGAUGCGAAAGGGAGAAUGUGUCAGUUCUCGCCAGGUCUGAAUUUAUGAUGUUAUUCUUCAUGAUUAAAAGGCAAGAGUAGAUAAGGAC